CUAGUUUCAAUUAUUAAUUUUGCAAUUAUAAAAAAAUUGUUGGUGGAGUUGGUGAUUUUGCAACAAUCCGAAGUAGCUCCAAAGCUUGGGUGGAUUUGCAAUUCUAGCCGCCUUCACUUUGGUGGAAAUUAGUCCGCCAAAUGUGGAUAUCAACCAACUAGAUGAUUUGGACGUCUUAGCAUGGUGGAAGAAAUACAAGACGAGUCAUCCGAUACUUUCAAGAAUGGAUCAAGAUAUCCUUACGGUUCAAAUAUCAACUGUGGCUUCGAAAAGUGCAUUUAGCCAAGGAAAAUAACAAAUUGGAGACCAUAGACACUCAUUAUCCGAAUUUAGCUUGCAAGUACUAGUUUGCAUUCGCGAUUGGAUUAGAUCGGAGGGAUGCAACCAAAACUCAUAAGCGGUGGAAGGCGAAGAGGAAGAGAUUGAAGAUUUGAUAGCAAGUGGAAUAGACCAAAUGGAAGACUUUGAAAAUAUCUCAAUGACCGAAUAUGAUAUGGCGGAUAUUAGCCAAAUGAUUGACACUUUUUGAUUUUAUUAUUCUACUACUUUUUUGCAAUUCAUGUAUUAUUUGCAAGUUAAAAAAAACUACAAUUUGCAAAUAAAUGUUAUCCAUGAAUGAAUAAAAUAUAUGGCUCAUUGAGCUUUCUUCUA